CCUUUUUCCCAUUCAACUCCAUUUUCGAACCCUAGGUCUCAUCUUCUCUCCCCUUCGAAAAUUUUGAUCCUAUCCGAGGUAUCUCCUUCGUUUGACUUCAAAGGAAUUCCAUGUAUUUUUCUUCUUUUCUUCCCUCAGUUUAUGAGUUUUUGGAAUUUUUUAGGUUUGUAUUCAAAUUUCGAAUUUUAGGGGGUUUUGGUGUUUCAUAUUAGGUUUUCGUACUAAUCUCACCUCACAGGAGAGAGCUCUACAUAAGGUCUCUUUUUCUUACUGCAUCAGGCAACUAAAGAGGCCCCUAACAUGGUCCAAGCAGAUGAUAAUUUCAGCAUAAUUGUUGUUUGUGAAGGUCGGUCAUCUACGAGAACAUGAUAGCCAUCAGGUUAGAAGGGCUUGGCCCGGGGAAAUAUUUGUUUAAACUCAUAGCCUCGUGGUCAAGUUUCAGCAUCAAAAAUUAUUUAUUGCCCGGAACUGAGAUCUGAAAAUGAGGCCCUUGACAUUAUCAAUAAGCUAGAGGCUGCAGCACUAGCAUAGAGAGAAAGAAUCAAACAACAAGUCAUUGGCAUCAAGACUCCUGUCCGAACAUCUUGGCCCUUUAUGAAGGAGCCAACACUCGAGGUUGGUAAGGCGGAAGUACUGUUAUUUUCCGUAGAUGCACUUCUCUGUCAGUUGAAGAUGAGGCGUCCUUACCUUCCUCACACCCUCAAUGUCACAUGAAUAUAGUAUGGCAACGUGGUAAGGUUGGUACUAUAACUGGAUACAAUGAUUUCUAAUAAUUUGAUCCAUGUAAUGACCAAUAAGAGUUAUGUUCUCUGAGUAUGUUAUUUCUCGUAGUUUAUCCUUUAUCAAGAAAAAUCUUAAAAUUAGUAAUUAUGUUGUUCAGAAGCAGAAACCAAAUAAGGCUACUAUGCCUUUGUGAAAUUAGGAAAUGGCUUUUUGAGAAGUAGGAAACAGAAUUUCAUAAAAUUUGAAAUAUGAUAGAUAUGAUAGAUAUGAAGUAUGAAGUAUUACAAAUUUACAAUUAUUGAGUUACAUUGCAUAUUAUUAGUUAUCUUUUA